rnacentral:lncRNA from 1 species
UAUUGACCGAAGCAUGUUACAACCCGUCAAGGCAAGAGAUUCUAGACACAAUGGAAGUGCUGGUAAUGACUGAAGCAUCUUACAAUCCGUCAAGUCAAGAGAUGUUAGGCACAAUGGAAGUUCUGGUAAUGACUGAAGCAUCUUACAAUUCUUCAAGUCAAGAGAACUCAACUGCGACAGUUGCUUGAUACUUGCAGGUAAACUCUCAAAGUUAUUUCCACUUAGAUGCAAGCCUGUCAGUGAGGAUAGACAGGCAAUCUCUUGUGGAAUUUCCAUUACAGCACAGUCACUUAUAUCUAGAAGUCCCAAAGAAGAUAAACCUAAUAAUAAUGAUCGAGGCAAUGAUGCCAAACCUUUGCAGCUAGAGAAAGAAAGAAUUCCAAGUACGUUUGAAUCUGUAACAGAGGAUGGUAGUUGACUAAUAGCUGAUUUAGCUGCUGAGAUGUAAUACAAAGAUUCUAAAUUGCCAAUGUUAUCCGGCAACUUAUCAAGUUUAGAGCAACCAUUUAUGAACAAUGAUUCAAGCCCCGGUAGAUUUUCAAAUGACGAUGGCAGCUCUGUAAUUGCCGUCCGGUCUAAAUAGAUGCGUUUUAAAUGUUCCAUUUUCUCCAAGAUUUCUGGGAAACGCUCAAGAUUCAAGCAGCCAAGAAGAAUAAGCCGAACCAAAGAUCUCAAUUUACAAAACCUAGUUGAAAUCCUCUUCAGCCGUUUGCAACCCAUCAAAUCCAACACUUCAAGAUCAGUUAGGCACUCUAUUGAUGAUGGAACUUCUUCUAUUGCAGACUGGUCUAAGUAUAGCCGUGUAAUUUUCCCAGAAAUCUGUGGAAACUCUAUGAGAUUAACACAAGAGGAGAAAUUAAUAGUUACUGGACAAACAAAAUGAAGAUUGCUUGGAAAAGACCUAAGACUUUUGCAGCCCUCAAAAGACAACGCACUGAGAUACUUGAAAUUCUGGAUAGAUGAGGGAACACAAGCCUUUUCUCCUUCCCAAGGUUGCUCAACUUUACUAAGGUAUUCUGACACAUCAUGUCAGUACCACGGUUUGGUAAAACUAUCAAUUUACCACCAAACGUUUAAACUGUUAGCAUUUUCCCACCAUUCCGUUAAAACUCAGUUAAUAUGUAACGGAAAAUUUCUAAAAAGUCAAUUUUACCCCUGGAGCAUAAAAGACCAUAUAAUUAACUUUUUAUGAAUUUUGUAAUUAAAUCAUCAUUUGUUGUUCUUCCUUCUUAAAGGACAAAAAUUACCCUUUAUAAAUUUUAUAAAAUUGGCCGUGUAGUGCUAGGUACUUCAUAAAUUAAUUUAAUUUUUAAAGGGCAAAUUUAUUUAUUAAAUUGAUGAGCUCAAGACAAUUUAUUCUACUACUAAAAAUCAAUUUAUGAAAGGGAAAAAAAAAAGAAUGUGCAAACGAAGUAAUUUAAUCUUUGAUAUGAUGAUAAUAAUUUUACACAAAAAAUUAAAUAAAUAAAUUUUCCCUUUAAAAAUUAAAUAAAUUAAAUCAAUUUAUGAAGUACCAAAUACCACACGGUCAAUUUUACAAAAUUCAUAAAUGGUAAUUUUUGUCGUUUAAGAAUAAAGAAUAACAAAUGAUGAUUUAAUUACAAAAUUCAUAAAAGGUUAAUUAUAUGGUCUUUUAUGCUCAGGGGUAAAAUUGACCUUUUAGGAAUUUUCCGUUAGACUCCGCAACGUUUUAUCUUCUGACCCUUUUGGUUACGCUCAGCGAAGAACUUCAAUGUGGCAGUUGCACGAUGGUAACCAUCAGGAAACCCAACAUUCAAGCAAGGUUUAAAACCAAGUAUGACAUGAUCUGAAUCAAUGAGUUCUUCAAUAAAGAGCGAAUUGUAACCCAGAUCAACAUGUUUGGUUUCAGAGAGAGUCUCUAUUUCUAAGUCGAAUUGACACUUGACGUAAAAAAAACGAAAACAAUCAGAAUCAACUUGCUUUAAAUCAGGAACAGCACAAAAAGCAAACCCGAUUAAGUUUCUGCAAAAAGAGUGCGGUGGCAGUUGAAUACAUAUCGAAGAUCCUGAACUUUGAUUGCUGAACCAGUCAGGAAUUUCGCUCCCAGGUAAAACAAUUAGGGAUCCCCUGAGUUCAGAAAGUUUCUGUGAAAUGACAUUUAAAAAAUGAAAAUUGUAAGAUGAAAACCAUGAUUUCAGAUAUAACAAAGAGGGACAGAGUAAACAAGAGAGGGAAUUUGAUACCUCGUUGAUUGCCUUUUCAUAGCCCAGUCUCAGUGAUGCAAUUGCCAUAUGCCGAAUUCUUAGUUGUGAAUCUGCCAAAAUCUUGUUGUUUGCUUUUCCAUUCAGUUUCAAGCAGUUAGUAAACCCAAAAUAAAUUGGUUGUGACUCCAGACAUCCCGGUGCCCAUUGACGAAGGUCAGGAGAGGGUUUCGAUAGCUUUUCGAGUACGGAUGCAUCUAGUUCUUGUAGACAUGACGGAAUCUCUGGCAAAGAUUGGAGCCGGUUGCAGUUCCUUGCAUUUAGUGAUUGUAGACACAAUGAAAGUUCUGGUAAUGACCGAAGCAUGUUACAAUCCUCCAAGUUAAGAUAUUUUAGACACAAUGGAAGUUCUGGUAUUGACCGAAGCAUGUUACAACCCGUCAAGGCAAGAGAUUCUAGACACAAUGGAAGUGCUGGUAAUGACUGAAGCAUCUUACAAUCCGUCAAGUCAAGAGAUGUUAGGCACAAUGGAAGUUCUGGUAAUGACUGAAGCAUCUUACAAUUCUUCAAGUCAAGAGAACUCAACUGCGACAGUUGCUUGAUACUUGCAGGUAAACUCUCAAAGUUAUUUCCACUUAGAUGCAAGCCUGUCAGUGAGGAUAGACAGGCAAUCUCUUGUGGAAUUUCCAUUACAGCACAGUCACUUAUAUCUAGAAGUCCCAAAGAAGAUAAACCUAAUAAUAAUGAUCGAGGCAAUGAU